rnacentral:rRNA from 1 species
AACGAACGCUGGCGGCAGGCCUAACACAUGCAAGUCGAACGCUGUAGCAAUACAGAGUGGCAGACGGGUGAGUAACACGUGGGAACGUGCCCUUCGGUUCGGAGUAACUCAGGGAAACUUGGGCUAAUACCGGAUAAGUGCGAGAGCAGAAAGAUUUAUCGCCGAAGGAUCGGCCCGCGUCCGAUUAGCUAGUUGGUGAGGUAAUGGCUCACCAAGGCGACGAUCGGUAGCUGGUCUAAGAGGAUGAUCAGCCACACUGGGACUGAGACACGGCCCAGACUCCUACGGGAGGCAGCAGUGGGGAAUAUUGGACAAUGGGCGCAAGCCUGAUCCAGCCAUGCCACGUGAGUGAUGAAGGCCCUAGGGUUGUAAAGCUCUUUCGCCAGGGACGAUAAUGACGGUACCUGGAUAAGAAGCCCCGGCUAACUUCGUGCCAGCAGCCGCAGUAA